CUCUAGGAUUAACCCCUUUUUUUUUUAUCAACAUAGCAGUUUCAGAGAAACUGCUAUGUUUAUAAAUGGGUUAAUCCAGCCUCCAAAUCCUCUAGUGGCUGUCUCAUUGACAGCCGCUAGAGGCGCUUGCGUGCUUCUCACUGUGAAAAUCACAGUGAGAACACGCAAGCGUCCAUAGGAAAGCAUUAUAAAUGCUUUCCUAUGAGACCGGCUGAAUGCGCGCGCAGCUCCUGGCGCACAUGCGCAUUCAGCCGAAG
rnacentral:lncRNA from 1 species